rnacentral:rRNA from 1 species
UACGAAGGGGGCGAGCGUUGUUCGGAAUUACUGGGCGUAAAGGGCGCGCAGGCGGCCCUGAAGUCAGGCGUGAAAGCCCCGGGCUCAACCUGGGAGGUGCGCUUGAUACUCGAGGGCUUGAGUGCGGGAGAGGAGAGUGGAAUUCCCAGUGUAGAGGUGAAAUUCGUAGAUAUUGGGAAGAACACCGGUGGCGAAGGCGGCUCUCUGGACCGUAACUGACGCUGAGGCGCGAAAGCGUGGGGAGCAAACAGG